GACAGAGGGUGCAAACGUUGUUCGGAAUUACUGGGCGUAAAGCGCGUGUAGGCGGCUAAGUAAGUCGGGCGUGAAAUCCCACGGCUCAACCGUGGAACUGCUGGGCAUACUGGACAUCUCGAGGCACUCAGGGGCGAGCGGAACAAGUGGUGGAGCGGUGAAAUGCGUAGAUAUCACUUGGAACGCCAAUGGUGAAGACAGCUCGCUGGGGGUGUCCUGACGCUGAGGCGCGAAAGCCAGGGGAGCGAACGGG
rnacentral:rRNA from 1 species